AUUCCAGCUCCAAUAGCGUAUAUUAAAGUUGUUGCAGUUAAAACGCUCGUAGUCGGAUUUCGGGGCGGGCCGACCGGUCUGCCGAUGGGUAUGCACUGGCCGGCGCGUCCUUCCACCCGGAGACCGCGCCUACUCUUAACUGAGCGGGCGCGGGAGACGGGUCUUUUACUUUGAAAAAAUCAGAGUGUUUCAAGCAGGCAGUCGCUCUUGCAUGGAUUAGCAUGGGAUAAUGAAAUAGGACUCUGGUGCUAUUUUGUUGGUUAUUGGACAAGAGUAAUGAUUAAAAGGGACAGUUGGGGGCAUUAGUAUUUAAUAGUCAGAGGUGAAAUUCUUGGAUUUAUUAAAGACUAACUUAUGCGAAAGCAUUUGCCAAGGAUGUUUUCAUUG
rnacentral:rRNA from 1 species